UGGGCAACAGAGCAAUACUUUGUCUCAGAAAAAAGAAAAAACUCAGGUACCUAAGCCACAAACAAGGUUAGUAAUAAGAGUUGUCGCUCAAUUAGAACUCCUUUCUGUGAAAUGUACAAACCAAGGAACUUAAAGGCUCUCAGUAAGAUUGCUUCACAUGGUUCAUUUUUGUAUCCUCCAUAGUUUUUUACAUUUUUCUGAGCUAUCAGAUCUCUUAGCCUCCUAAACCUUGAUCCUUAGCAUUGGCUCAGGUUAGGACAGGAGGCAGCUCAGAAAAUCCACAAGGCCCUGUGGGGAAGAGGCCAGCUUCAAGAACUUCCACAACGGGAGUUCCUGGGAGGAGGACCCUGAGGCCGACCUGGUCCCUGCAUAGCCUUGAGAAGGCGGGUUCUUGAAGCUGCCCAAAUAUUCUUCAAAGCCAAUGCUGUACAGCAGAGUGUAUGAAAUUACAGAAUGGCCUGUGAAGAAGCAAAGGAGACUCCAGCUAGCUGCUGCCUUAGGUUUCUUCAUCUAUGGGCGAAUUGUUAACUGGCUAUUUUUUUGUCAGAAGAUGUUUUUGAGAUCAAAACCUCAAAAGAGGAGGUUAUUUUAUCCUUUCUAAAUUUGUACAUCUUCACUGGGACAUUUUUUUUUUCAUGUCACACAGAAAAAUUGCAUAAUUGUGGUUAAAGUAGGAAAUGUGUUUUUACUUUAAGGCUGUCUUUUUAUAUCCUAAAAAUUGCAGCCUCCCCUUUAAAAGUUUCAGCAACAAGUCAUAAAAUCAUGGAGUAGAGUGAAGUGUGUACAAUAAUCAAAUCCUGAUCAACAGACUUGUUGAAACAGUGAGUCAGCUGUAAACAACCACCCCAGCCCAAACACAGAAGGUGAAAGCAGGAUUUCAUUUUCCUUGCCUGACAACUUGGUCCAUAGCCUCUUUAAAGAAGUGACUGGGGGCAGCUGGGCGCGGUGUCUCACACCUGUAAUCCCAGCGCUUUGGGAGGCCGAGGCAGGCAGAUGACCUGAGGUCAGGAGUUCAAUGCCAGCCUGACCAACAUGGUGAAACUCCAUCUCUAUUAAAAAUACACAAUUAGCCAGGCGUGGUGGCUCAUGCCUGUAAUCUCAGCUACUUGGGAGGCUGAGGCAGGAGAAUUGCUUGAACCUGGGAGGUAGAGGUUGCAGUGAGCCAAGCUCACACCACUGCACUCCAGCCUGGGCAACAAGAGCAAAACUGUCUAAGUGACUGGGGAAGGGUGUGUAUGAGAGUUCAAGAAAGCAUGUAAAUUGCAGAAUUUAUUACAAAACGAUCUAGAGUUUCUCAUCAGCUGGCAAGCCAUACUGAGACUGGGUCCUGGAGAUGAGCCCACAAGGGUGUGUGCUGGACGGGCACCAUGGCAUUAAGAUGCAGCAGAUAGCGCCUGUGAUGGGCAAGCAUCCCAAGUGGGUGAAGACAAAAUAUCCAAGGAAGGAUCAUGUUUGAAAUUUUCCCAGCAUAUACUCCACACAACUUCUGUCUUACUAUUUUGGGAGUAAUAGUGGCAGUGUAGCAGCAAUGCUUAGCUGCACUGACUUCACUUGAGUGUGCAGACCAGCCACACACACGAGAACAUGUCCCUACGUCCAGAGCCACCACAGGAGACAGCAUUAGAUAACACCGAGAAUCAUCUCGCCAUCAUGUUUCCUUCCUUCUCUGCUUUUUCCCUACCUUCUUUCCUUCGACCUUUCUUUGUACUUCAUUCCCUCAUCCUUGAACUGUCUCACAUGCUUUCCUUCUCUUCUUUCUUCAUAAAGUAAUAUUGCUUUGAAAGAUAUCUUCUCAUUAUGUUCUCUCUCUCAGAUUUUUAAACAACGUCCUCUUGUGUUUAGAUGUUUAUAAGUAUUUAUACGUAGGGGAAAACUACAGGUUCAAGCACAGCUAUAAACUGUAUUCUCCUUAACCAUCAAAUAAGAUUGGGCGGGGCGUGGUGGCUCACCCAGUAAUCCCAACACUUUGGGAGGCUGAGGUGGGAGGACCCCCUGAACCCAGGAGUUUGAGACCAGUGGGCAACACAGCAAGACCCCAUCUCUACAAAAGAUUUGAAUUACCGUGGUGGAGUGCGCCUGAGUCCUAGUUACUUGGGAGGCCGAGGAGGAUCAUUUGAGCCCAGGGGUCAAGGCUGUUAAGCCAUGAUCAUGCCACUGUACUCCUGAGUGACAUAGACACUUGUCUCUUAAAAAUGAAAAAUUAUGGCCGGGCGCGGUGGCUCAAGCCUGUAAUCCAAGCACUUUGGGAGGCCGAGACAGGCGGAUCAUGAGGUCAGGAGAUCAAGACCAUCCUGGCUAACACGGUGAAACCCCGUCUCUACUAAAAAAUACAAAAAAACUAGCCAGGCGAGGUUGCGGGCGCCUGUAGUCCCAGCUACUCGGGAGGCUGAGGCAGGACAAUGGCGUAAACCCGGGAGGUGGAGCUUGCAGUGAGCUGAGAUCGCGCCACUGCACUCCAGCCUGGACGGCAGAGUGAGACUCCAUCUCAAAAAUAAAAAAAAAAAA
rnacentral:lncRNA from 1 species